GCUGGUGUAGUCGGCGUCGCUGUCGCCGAUAGUUCUGGCCCCUAUAGUAGCGACGCCAGCUGCGACGGCAACUGCGGUGGAGCGGUGAAGACCAUUCAAUUUUUAUUUGAGUUUAUUUGUUGGUGGAAGUCGCUCCCUCUCUCUGCUCUCUGGAACGCGGCUGCGGCUGCGUCUACAGUUAUUAUCUACCACUUCAACUUGCCCUUUUCUCCCCUUCAACCCGCUAACGUUACCGCGUUCGUUCGUCGAGCUGUUUAUCAUUCUCUGUUGUGCUCAGACAUUCCGUAAACAUUACACAAACAACACACUCGCAGAACAUAAGGAAUAUUAAUAAGAAGAAUACGGAGACAGCAAAGCCACAUGCGUACAGAAAGAGUAAUAGAGAGAAACAAACUCGUUUCGAGCCGACCGGAAACCGAAUGUUGACGUUAUCACAACAUAUCAAAUGAUGCUUUUUUAAUUCUUUCAAGCGAUCGCUUUUCAUAUUGCAUGCAUAUGCCCAGGAAUGACCUCUGUGGUAUUAGGACCAAAACGAAUGAUGAUGCAACGGCAUUACUGGAUAAAUAUAGAAAACAUUUUGGGAGAGAGAAUUAACCUCUGGACGGUACUUGUGCGAUCAUCAAUGCACACACAUAUGUAUCUGCGCAGAGAAAUAUCGUUCAUACAUACACCACGAAAUUAGGACCGAAGCCCAUAAUACAAAGCUUGGUUGCUAGGAAUACAAAGUUAAAAAUCUCUUGAAUACGCCUCCGCAAAUUCCAUCGAAAAUCCCCACUACAUUAAAGGAUAUGUUGAAAAAUAUCAUUGUUGAAGAAUAGCGUCAAGUGACGGUAUAGAAUGGGAAGAAAUUGGUCGAAUCAAUGCUAAAACGGCUGGCCGAUGUAAUAAAAUGUAAAGGGUAUUCGAUAUUCACAUAUUAAAAAAAUAAAUUUUAAUUGAA
rnacentral:sRNA from 1 species